CCGUACUCGGAAACAGGUGCGGCAGAUCAUCAAAGAGCUCAUCGCGUUAGCUCUCCUUCCUGCGGAUGACAUUUUACGAGGAUUUCAGAACAUCAAAACCCACUAUCGAAGGUCACUCUUGCAAGAAUCAGGCGAGAUCCAAGCUGCCAUCAAACGACUGAUGGACUAUGUCUACAAUUUCUGGAUUGACGAUGUUACACCAGAAGCAUUCAGCGUGUUCGGUCUUCUAAACCGAACCAACAAUCUCGUUGAGGCGUGGUAUCGUUGGUUCAACAAACGUUGCAGAGGAAUUCACCUAAACUUUUGGGAUUUCACCUACGCCUAAAAGUGUCGGAAAAUUCAAAGAUGCGCGAUUACCUUGCUGAAGCAAUCCUUGGGGAUGAUCAUCGAAGAAGAAAGACACCAUAUCAGCGACAAAGGGAACGCAACAUUUCCAACAACGAGAGGAUGUACAGGGAGGGGCAAAAAUCAAUGGACGACGUGCGCAAGUUCCUAGAGACGGCAAGAAUGUUUAUGGAGCCUGAUCUCUCUGCUCCUGUUGAAAACGAGCAGGAUGACGUCCAGCCCGAAGGAGAUCAACUCGAUAUUGGUCCAGCCCAGAAUGAGGUACCACGAUGACGUCAACGCUUUUUAGCUGGCACGCCUCAGCUUUUUGAGCCUGCUGAUGAGCCUGUCGAUCCUGAAGUUCCGCGCCCAGCUGUUCGUGGUCGUCAACGUGGACGCCAAAUCGUCGAGCCACGUCCAGCUGCCAAUGAUGUAAGGGAACGAGCUUUCGCUUUGCCUGCUCUUGCCGAAGAGCCCGUUGAGGUCGAUGCUGUUGCUGCCGAACCGUUGCCUAUUGAACCUACCGAACACAGCGGAUUCGUCGCCGACCUCGAAGCCUGGAAGAAAAUGGUGAUUUUGUGUUCCCCUCUGCUCGCCGAGGAAGACUGAAUGCUGCUCCUGUUCGUGGCCGUGGCCGUGGUCGUGGCAAUGGACGUUAAGAUCUUCAAUUCAGCCCAAUUUCCAUUGAACAUAUUUAUGAUCUAGACUAUAAAUAAAAUUCAUUUUCCUGCUCCAGUCGUCUAUUCUUCAGUCACAAUUCUCUAUUCAAAUAUAAUAAUGAAUGAAAAUCAUGUGAAUAAGCAAAAUUAGUUCAUCUUACCACCGACCUCACACAUUUGCUACAUCAUUACUAAAGAAUUCAAUUGAAUAAAGCACCUACAGCCUUAUGUCUGCUUCUUCCAUUGACCAUCACAAGGUUGUUGUCGUAUGUUGUGGACUUGUGGUGUAUCAUUUGAAAAAUAACUGUAACGAGAGCUUAAGGAUCUUCAGAUGAAAACACUAAUUCUUGAAUGAUUAUGAUGGAAGUUGCUAUCCGAUACAUGACUGGCUUUUUUAUGAUGCAGCCCAGGAGAAACAUUCUGUUAAGAGUAAAGCAUGAAAUUAGGAUUGAGAAAAUGUUGAAAUAAAAGAAUGAAUUUUGUUUGAGAACAUAUUUAAAAGUUACAAUUCUUCUGAGCUACAGCUUAUUGUGAGUUGUUCCAUCUUCAAAGGAUUUCCAUAUAAUUUGGCCGGGUACAAUAUAAUUCAGCUCUUGAAAAGCUCUUUUCUUCGUCAAAUGAGUAAAAGCAUUCUGUUGAGAGACGAAAUUAGUGAAUUUUAAUGGGCUAUCAUGUUAACAAGGUUUUUGUGUAUGCUGUGUGCCGUCAGCCCGUCAGUCCGUCACAUUCCGAAAUGGGUA